CCUACGGGAGGCAGCAGUGAGGAAUAUUGGUCAAUGGGCGCGAGCCUGAACCAGCCAAGUCGCGUGAGGGAAGACGGUCCUAUGGAUUGUAAACCUCUUUUGUCGGGGAGCAAAAGACGCCACGCGUUGCGUUCCGAGAGUACCCGAAGAAAAAGCAUCGGCUAACUCCGUGCCAGCAGCCGCGGUAAUACGGAGGAUGCGAGCGUUAUCCGGAUUGAUUGGGUUUCAAGGGUGCUCAGGCGGAAGAUCAAGUCAGCGGUAAAAUUGAGAGGCUCAACCUCUUCGAGCCGUUGAGCCUGAUUUUCGUGAGUGAGCGAGAGGCAUGCGGAAUGCGUGGGGUAGCGGU
rnacentral:rRNA from 1 species